GGUGAGAUGGCCGAGUGGUCUAAGGCGGCAGGUUUAGGCCCUGUUUUCUCCGGAAGCGCGAGUUCGAAUCUCGCUCUCAUCA